GCGGGWAUUCGAUUAUCGUAUUACCGCGGCUGCUGGCACGUAGUUAGCCGUGACUUUCUGGUUGAUUACCGUCAAAUAAAGGCCAGUUACUACCUCUAUCCUUCUUCACCAACAACAGAGCUUUACGAUCCGAAAACCUUCUUCACUCACGCGGCGUUGCUCCAUCAGACUUGCGUCCAUUGUGGAAGAUUCCCUACUGCGGCCUCCCGUAGGAGUUUGGGCCGUGUCUCAGUCCCAAUGUGGCCGAUCAGUCUCUCAACUCGGCUAUGCAUCAUCGCCUUGGUAAGCCUUUACCUUACCAACUAGCUAAUGCACCGCGGGGCCAUCCCAUAGCGACAGCUUACGCCGCCUUUUAAAAGCUGAUCAUGCGAUCUGCUUUCUUAUCCGGUAUUAGCACCUGUUUCCAAUCACUAGUGAAUUCGCGGCCGCCUGCAGGUCGACCAUAUGGGAGAGCUCCCAACGCGU
rnacentral:rRNA from 1 species